AUUGAACGCUGGCGGCAGGCCUAACACAUGCAAGUCGAACGAGUGGCGGACGGGUGAGUAAUGUCUGGGAAACUGCCUGAUGGAGGGGGAUAACGUCCGGAAACGGGCGCUAAUACCGCAUACUAUCAGAUGAGCCUCGGUCGGAUUAGCUAGUUGGUGGGGUAAAGGCCGACCAAGGCGACGAUCCUUAACUGGUCUGAGCGGAUGAUCAGUCACACUGGAACUGAGACACGGUCCAGACUCCUACGGGAGGCAGCAGUGGGGAAUAUUGGACAAUGGGCGAAAGCCUGAUCCAGCCAUGCCGCGUGUGUGAAGAAGGUCUUCGGAUUGUAAAGUACUUUCAGCGGGGAGGCGUUACCCGCAGAAGAAGCACCGGCUAACUCCGUGCCAGCCGCCGCGGUAAUAC
rnacentral:rRNA from 1 species